GAUGAAGAACGUAGCGAAAUGCGAUAAGUAAUGCGAAUUGCAGAAUUUCCGUGAGUCAUCGAAUCUUUGAACGCACAUUGCGCCCAUUGGCAUUCCGAUGGGCAUGCCUGUUCGAGCGUCAUUAUCCUCCCUCAAACCCCUGGGUUUGGUGUUGGACUGUGUGGUGCCUGGCACCACUGGUCUCAAAGACAAUGACGGCGUCCGUGGGACCCUCGGUGCAACGAGCUUUUCGAAGCACGCGUCGAGUGGACAGUCUCUCCGGGCCGGUCACCUCUCCAAUUUUUUUCAGGUUGACCUCGGAUCAGGUAGGAAUACCCGCUGAACUUAAGCAUAUCAAUAAGCGGAGGA
rnacentral:misc_RNA from 1 species